CUUGGGAACAGAGUUCUAGCACAUACCAAGCACAAGGAAAGGAGGGAGGCACAGAUAGCAACCAAAUUAAUGUAUCGUGCAGGGGGUUAGUCUAGUAGUUGAAAAAACUUGAUUUUAUUUUGAAAUAGUUUUAUUAAAGUUUAUUUUAUUUUCUUCUUUGCCAGGUAUUCUAUAUUCGUGGGACCCUGAAGACUGCUACCACACAUCAUUUUGUUUCUCUCUAUUAGGAGCACAUUGCAGAAUGCCUAUAUUCCCCAACGUACGUUCAGGGGCCAUGGAGGGUACGCAACCUCAUUGUUAUAGAUGUCCCUUGCUUCUUCACACAGCAGGUUUCACUUUUAGUUUUGGGGACUGCAAAGCUAAGAUGCUGAUCACAAACAACCACAUGGCUGCUUCACUAUCUAAUAAGGUGGCUUUGAUGUUCUGAUUGAAGACUGUUUGAGCCUGCUGGUGCUGCAAGGAGAGCAGGAGAAGUAAAGGUCUUUGCUCCUCUCAUCUCGGGUCCUCCUGUCAGCAGCCUUUCUACCAUCCAAAGCUGGAGCCAGCAUCCUCGAAUGAGUGCUGUUGCCACUGCUUCAUUUCAUUCUAGGAUGAAACAGAAUGGCAGAGGAAUUUUCUCCUGCUGAUAAUCCUCUUUGUGAAACAGUGCUAUGCCAAGUGCUCAGGACGCUGUUUCUUCAUCAAAGUCCAGCAUGAGGAAUGGAGCUCUACUUAUAAACUACUCUACUACCCUUUGUUAUAUUGCUUUGCAAUACGUGCACUGUUAAGGGAUGGAUUAGCCCACUGUCAUAUAAUCUGUGGUGCUGCAUGGUUUCCUCUUCACUGGACCACUGAGAGACUCAACACU
ensembl:lncRNA